rnacentral:rRNA from 1 species
UCUAAGUCCCUUGGAACAGGGCGUCAAAGAGGGUGAGAAUCCCGUCUGCGACUCGGCCACCAAGCCCGGGUGAAACCCCUUCGACGAGUCGAGUUGUUUGGGAAUGCAGCUCAAAAUGGGUGGUAAAUUUCAUCUAAAGCUAAAUACCGGCCGGAGACCGAUAGCGCACAAGUAGAGUGAUCGAAAGAUGAAAAGCACUUUGGAAAGAGAGUUAAACAGUACGUGAAAUUGUUGAAAGGGAAGCGCUUGCGACCAGACCUGUCCCCGGGCGAUCACCCGUCACUCGUGGCGGGGCAUGCGCCCGGACGCAGGCCAGCAUCGGUUUGGGCGGCGGGACAAAGGGCCCGGGAAUGUAGCUUCCUCCGGGGAGCCUUAUAGCCCGGGCUGCCAUGCCGCCCGCCCGGACCGAGGACCGCGCUUCGGCUAGGAUGCUGGCGUAAUGGUCGUAAGCGACCCGUCUUGAAACACGGACCAAGGAGUCUACCAUCUAUGCGAGUGUUCGGGUAUCAAACCCGGGCGCGGAAUGAAAGUGAACGGAGGUGAGACCCCGGUAACACGGGCGCAUCAUCGACCGAUCCAGAUGUCUUCGGAUGGAUUUGAGUACGAGCAUGGCUGGUGGGACCCGAAAGAUGGUGAACUAUGCCUGAAUAGGGUGAAGCCAGAGGAAACUCUGGUGGAGGCUCGCAGCGGUUCUGACGUGCAAAUCGAUCGUCGAAUUUGGUAUAGGGGCGAAAGACUAAUCGAACCGU